rnacentral:pre_miRNA from 7 species
UUUUGUAAUUUGUCUUAAUACAAAUUGAAAGACCUCAGUGGGGAGACCGCCACUCAAGUCCCGAGAUGGUGCACACAGCCAAGAAAUCACAAGAUACC